rnacentral:rRNA from 1 species
AUUGAACGCUGGCGGCAGGCCUAACACAUGCAAGUCGAGCGGAUGAAGGGAGCUUGCUCCUGGAUUCAGCGGCGGGCGGGUGAGUAAUGCCUAGGAAUCUGCCUGGUAGUGGGGGAAAACGUCCGGAAACGGGCGCUAAUACCGCAUACGUCCUGAGGGAGAAAGUGGGGGAUCUUCGGACCUCACGCUAUCAGAUGAGCCUAGGUCGGAUUAGCUAGUUGGUGGGGUAAAGGCCUACCAAGGCGACGAUCCGUAACUGGUCUGAGAGGAUGAUCAGUCACACUGGAACUGAGACACGGUCCAGACUCCUACGGGAGGCAGCAGUGGGGAAUAUUGGACAAUGGGCGAAAGCCUGAUCCAGCCAUGCCGCGUGUGUGAAGAAGGUCUUCGGAUUGUAAAGCACUUUAAGUUGGGAGGAAGGGCAGUAAGUUAAUACCUUGCUGUUUUGACGUUACCAACAGAAUAAGCACCGGCUAACUUCGUG